AUUGAACGCUGGCGGCAUGCCUUACACAUGCAAGUCGAACGGUAACAGGUCUUCGGAUGCUGACGAGUGGCGAACGGGUGAGUAAUACAUCGGAACGUGCCCGAUCGUGGGGGAUAACGGAGCGAAAGCUUUGCUAAUACCGCAUACGAUCUACGGAUGAAAGCAGGGGACCGCAAGGCCUUGCGCGGACGGAGCGGCCGAUGGCAGAUUAGGUAGUUGGUGGGAUAAAAGCUUACCAAGCCGACGAUCUGUAGCUGGUCUGAGAGGACGACCAGCCACACUGGGACUGGGACACGGCCCAGACUCCUACGGGAGGCAGCAGUGGGGAAUUUUGGACAAUGGGCGAAAGCCUGAUCCAGCCAUGCCGCGUGCAGGAUGAGGGCCUUCGGGUUGUAAACUGCUUUUGUACGGAACGAAAAGACUCUUUCUAAUAAAGAGGGUCCAUGACGGUACCGUAAGAAUAAGCACCGGCUAACUACGUGCCAGCCGCCGCCGUAAAAC
rnacentral:rRNA from 1 species